rnacentral:rRNA from 1 species
UGCGUAGGCGGGAUAAUAAGUCAGUGGUGAAAUACUGCAGCUUAACUGUAGAACUGCCAUAGAUACUGUUAUUCUUGAGUAUAGUUGAGGUGGGCGGAAUGUGUCAUGUAGCGGUGAAAUGCUUAGAUAUGACACAGAACACCAAUUGCGUAGGCAGCUUGCUAAACUAUCACUGACGCUGAUGCACGAAAGCGUGGGGAGCGAACAGGAUUAGAUACCCUGGUAGCC